UUUGUGUUACCUUUUUUAUUGUUUAAUAUGUCGAAGCGAACUCGCGUAGCUGAAGACUUUUUAAGAAAAACGUACCUGAAAUAUUUUUUUAAAAGGUUAGUCCGUGCAGUUAUAGUUAAUUUACAAUGGCUUGAUGAUACCGGGGAUCAAAAAAUAUCUUUGAAUACGAAAAAAAAUAAAGCCUUACUUUUACGAACCAAGAGAAAAGUAGGGAUGUUAACAUUAGGUGAAAAAUCCCUAAUAAGAACACCACAUGCCGCUCGCUCUGUUUCUGAAAGAAAGAAAUUAUGUCACUUAUUUGCUGGACUUAGGUGCUUUGCUCGUAUUCCACCAAAAAUUCGUGCUAGGUUAAUACCGGU